CGUCCUACGGGAGGCAGCAGUGGGGAAUAUUGGGCAAUGGGCGCAAGCCUGACCCAGCAACGCCGCGUGAAGGAAGAAGGCUUUCGGGUUGUAAACUUCUUUUAAGAGGGAAGAGAAGAAGACGGUACCUCUUGAAUAAGCCACGGCUAACUACGUGCCAGCAGCCGCGGUAAUACGUAGGUGGCAAGCGUUGUCCGGAUUUACUGGGUGUAAAGGGCGUGCAGCCGGGCUGACAAGUCAGAUGUGAAAACUCAGGGCUCAACCCUGAGCCUGCAUUUGAAACUGUGUUUCUUGAGUGCUGGAGG
rnacentral:rRNA from 1 species